CUUUUAGGAGGAGGAUGAUCUUGCUAAAUCCUGAGUUUUACCCAGAGAAGCUGUUUUUGGAGUUCUGUUAUUCAAAACCAUAAGAUCAUGUGCAGUUUUUUGAAAAUCGUUUGAAGCCACUAACGAUGGUUUGUUUUAGCAGAAGUAAGAAAAUAAUACAGGACCAUGGUAACGCGAACAACUAAAGAAUGGGCCUGGAAAUGAAGCUGAGGAAGAACUCAUUUUCCAUAGGGCAUGAUGCCCUGUGUGGGAAGCUGCUGAUAAGCUGAAAGAACACUAAGAUUUGAUGCCCAGACUUGGCAACUGUCCUGGAAGCUGUUUGCAAAGCUGAUGAUGGAUGUAUACACUUUGGCUCAAGCUAAGCAGAUUGGCCCUGACCAGGCAGCAGGGUCCCACCUGUUUGUUGGUACAGUUCAGCUGUUCCCAAGAUGAUGCAAGGACUGAGACAUAUAGGCAUCAAUGGGGUUCCCCGAGGGUACUUGCUGACUGAAGGAAGCCUGUCCUGUGCCUUAGCCAAGUCUUCAUGCCAGAGAUAGAAAUGAAGAAGGGGAGUAUGAGAGCGGGCAGCUGCCUCUGCAUGGGUGAUCAGUGCAACUCUUCUUGAUGAAACUUGUGGUUGAUUAGGAUGCACAAAGAAGGGUGUUGUUGCAUGAUUUCAAAGCCCAAGGCUGGUAAAGUAUGAGACAUGGAGGUGUUGCUGACUUUGCAGAGUUUGCUGAGGGAAGGAGAGCCACUUCUGAAAGCCCUGAAGCUGGGGGCCAUGCCCUGGCUGUUUCUUUCUGGAUUCUCUCUUGAAGGUAAACCGACUGGGAAGAAGAGAUAUUUAAGAUGUGGUGUUCAAGAAACCAUCUAUAUUUGACUGA